ACUGAUUUGUAUAUGUAGAUAGAUUUGGAGUAAAAGGUCUUCUUCCUGGUUUAAUAGUAUGGACUUCAAAGUGUUACUAGUUCUAUGUUCAGUUGUUUUAAGCCUAGCAUUAGGAAAGCCCAUAAAAUCCGACGAAGUAACAGAAGAGCCAUCUACAUUUGCUGUGUUGUUGAGCACAUUGUUUAUUAAAUAACAGACAAAACAAUACAAAGCGGAUUAAUUAUAUUUUCGACCCGUUUUAAUGUUAACUCUGAAAUAAAUAAACACUGAAUUUGCA